CAGGCAAAUGGCGGCGAUGCUAUACAUGCAGUCGAGCGAAUCUGAGGGAGCUUGCUCCCAAGAUUAGCGGCGGACGGGUGAGUAACACGUGGGCAACCUGCCUGUAAGACUGGGAUAACUUCGGGAAACCGGAGCUAAUACCGGAUAAUCCCUUUCCUCACAUGAGGAAAGGCUGAAAGAUGGUUUCGGCUAUCACUUACAGAUGGGCCCGCGGCGCAUUAGCUAGUUGGUGAGGUAACGGCUCACCAAGGCCACGAUGCGUAGCCGACCUGAGAGGGUGAUCGGCCACACUGGGACUGAGACACGGCCCAGACUCCUACGGGAGGCAGCAGUAGGGAAUCUUCCGCAAUGGACGAAAGUCUGACGGAGCAACGCCGCGUGAGUGAUGAAGGUUUUCGGAUCGUAAAACUCUGUUGUUAGGGAAGAACAAGUAUCGGAGUAACUGCCGGUACCUUGACGGUACCUAACCAGAAAGCCACGGCUAACUACGUGCCAGCAGCCGCGGUAAUACGUAGGUGGCAAGCGUUGUCCGGAAUUAUUGGGCGUAAAGCGCGCGCAGGUGGUUCCUUAAGUCUGAUGUGAAAGCCCACGGCUCAACCGUGGAGGGUCAUUGGAAACUGGGGAACUUGAGUGCAGAAGAGGAAAGUGGAAUUCCAAGUGUAGCGGUGAAAUGCGUAGAGAUUUGGAGGAACACCAGUGGCGAAGGCGACUUUCUGGUCUGUAACUGACACUGAGGCGCGAAAGCGUGGGGAGCGAACAGGAUUAGAUACCCUGGUAGUCCACGCCGUAAACGAUGAGUGCUAAGUGUUAGAGGGUUUCCGCCCUUUAGUGCUGCAGCAAACGCAUUAAGCACUCCGCCUGGGGAGUACGACCGCAAGGUUGAAACUCAAAGGAAUUGACGGGGGCCCGCACAAGCGGUGGAGCAUGUGGUUUAAUUCGAAGCAACGCGAAGAACCUUACCAGGUCUUGACAUCCUCUGACAAUCCUAGAGAUAGGACUUUCCCCUUCGGGGGACAGAGUGACAGGUGGUGCAUGGUUGUCGUCAGCUCGUGUCGUGAGAUGUUGGGUUAAGUCCCGCAACGAGCGCAACCCUUGAUCUUAGUUGCCAGCAUUCAGUUGGGCACUCUAAGGUGACUGCCGGUGACAAACCGGAGGAAGGUGGGGAUGACGUCAAAUCAUCAUGCCCCUUAUGACCUGGGCUACACACGUGCUACAAUGGAUGGUACAAAGGGCUGCAAGACCGCGAGGUUUAGCCAAUCCCAUAAAACCAUUCUCAGUUCGGAUUGCAGGCUGCAACUCGCCUGCAUGAAGCCGGAAUCGCUAGUAAUCGCGGAUCAGCAUGCCGCGGUGAAUACGUUCCCGGGCCUUGUACACACCGCCCGUCACACCACGAGAGUUUGUAACACCCGAAGUCGGUGGGGUAACCUUUGGAGCCAGCCGCCUAAGGUGACUACGAAAGGGG
rnacentral:rRNA from 1 species